rnacentral:tRNA from 1 species
GGGCGGUUAGCUCAGUUGGUUAGAGCGCUACCUUCACACGGUAGAGGCCAGAGGUUCGAGACCUCUAUCGCCCA